UGGGGGAUAUUGCACAAUGGGCGAAAGCCUGAUGCAGCGACGCCGCGUGGGGGAUGAAGGCUUUCGGGUUGUAAACCUCUUUCGCUAUCGAACAAGGCCCGCUUAGGGUGGGUUGAGGGUAGGUGGAGAAGAAGCGCCGGCUAACUACGUGCCAGCAGCCGCGGUAAUACGUAGGGCGCGAGCGUUGUCCGGAAUUAUUGGGCGUAAAGGGCUUGUAGGCGGCUUGUUGCGCCUGCUGUGAAAACGCGGGGCUUAACUUCGCGCGUGCAGUGGGUACGGGCAGGCUUGAGUGUGGUAGGGGUGACUGGAAUUCCAGGUGUAGCGGUGGAAUGCGCAGAUAUCUGGAGGAACACCGAUGGCGAAGGCAGGUCACUGGGCCAUUACUGACGCUGAGGAGCGAACGCAUGGGUAGCGAACAGG
rnacentral:rRNA from 1 species